rnacentral:rRNA from 2 species
GUUAUAUGGUCAAGCGAAUAAGCGCACACGGUGGAUGCCUAGGCGGUCAGAGGCGAUGAAGGACGUGGUAGCCUGCGAAAAGUGUCGGGGAGCUGGCAACAAGCUUUGAUCCGGCAAUAUCCGAAUGGGGAAACCCACUGCUUCGGCAGUAUCCUGCAGUGAAUUCAUAGCUGCUGGAAGCGAACCCGGUGAACUGAAAUAUCUAAGUAACCGGAGGAAAAGAAAUCAACCGAGAUUCCCUAAGUAGUGACGAGCGAACGGGGAGCAGCCCUUAAGCUGGAAUGGCUUUAGAAAAACAAUCUGGAAAGAUUGGCCAUAGAAGGUGAUAGCCCUGUAUUUAAAAGGGCCACUCCAGUGAAGACGAGUAGGGCGGGGCACGUGAAACCCUGUCUGAAUAUGGGGGGACCAUCCUCCAAGGCUAAAUACUCCUGACCGACCGAUAGUGAACCAGUACCGUGAGGGAAAGGUGAAAAGAACCCCGGAGAGGGGAGUGAAAUAGAUCCUGAAACCGUGUGCGUACAAGCAGUAGGAGCUCGCAAGAGUGACUGCGUACCUUUUGUAUAAUGGGUCAGCGACUUACUGUUCGUGGCAAGCUUAACCGUAUAGGGGAGGCGAAGGGAAACCGAGUCUGAUAAGGGCGCAUAGUCGCGGGCAGUAGACCCGAAACCGGGUGAUCUAGUCAUGGCCAGGGUGAAGGUGCCGUAACAGGUACUGGAGGCCCGAACCCACGUCUGUUGCAAAAGACGGGGAUGAGCUGUGAUUAGGAGUGAAAAGCUAAUCGAACCCGGAGAUAGCUGGUUCUCCUCGAAAGCUAUUUAGGUAGCGCCUCAUAUGUAUCCUCUCGGGGGUAGAGCACUGUUAUGGCUAGGGGGUCAUCGCGACUUACCAAACCAUUGCAAACUCCGAAUACCGAGACGGACUGUAUGGGAGACACACGGCGGGUGCUAACGUCCGUCGUGAAAAGGGAAACAACCCAGACCCACAGCUAAGGUCCCAAAUUCACUGCUAAGUGGAAAACGAUGUGGAAAGGCAUAGACAGCCAGGAGGUUGGCUUAGAAGCAGCCACCCUUUAAAGAAAGCGUAAUAGCUCACUGGUCGAGUCGGUCUGCGCGGAAGAUUUAACGGGGCUAAGCAGUGAACCGAAGCUUGGGGUGCAUAAAACUUGUUUUAUGCGCGGUAGAGGAGCGUUCCGUAAGCCUGCGAAGGUGGAUUGAGAAGUCUGCUGGAGGUAUCGGAAGUGCGAAUGCUGACAUGAGUAACGAUAAUGCGGGUGAAAAGCCCGCACGCCGAAAGCCCAAGGUUUCCUUGCGCAACGUUAAUCGACGCAGGGUUAGUCGGUCCCUAAGGCGAGGGCGAAAGCCGUAGUCGAUGGGAAGCAGGUUAAUAUUCCUGCACCUCGCGUGAGUGCGAUGGAGGGACGGAGAAGGUUAGGUGUACCGGGCGUUGGUUGUCCCGGGGAAAGGCGGUAGGUUUGGAUCUUUGGCAAAUCCGGGAUCCUUUAAGACCGAGCACCGAGACGAGCCUUUAUGGCGAAGUCACUGAUACCACGCUUCCAGGAAAAGCUCCUAAGCUUCAGCUCACGAAGACCGUACCGUAAACCGACACAGGUGGGUAGGAUGAGAAUUCUCAGGCGCUUGAGAGAACUCGGGUGAAGGAACUAGGCAACAUGGCACCGUAACUUCGGGAGAAGGUGCACCCUUUUUGGUGGCUCGUGCGAGCUAUAGCUGAAGAGGGUCGCAGAAACCAGGCCGCUGCGACUGUUUAUCAAAAACACAGCACUCUGCAAACACGAAAGUGGACGUAUAGGGUGUGACGCCUGCCCGGUGCUGGAAGGUUAAUUGAUGGGGUCAGCCGCAAGGCGAAGCUCUUGAUCGAAGCCCCAGUAAACGGCGGCCGUAACUAUAACGGUCCUAAGGUAGCGAAAUUCCUUGUCGGGUAAGUUCCGACCUGCACGAAUGGCGUAACGACAGCGGCGCUGUCUCCACCCGAGACUCAGUGAAAUUGAAAUCGCUGUGAAGAUGCAGCGUUCCCGUGGCAAGACGGAAAGACCCCGUGAACCUUUACUAUAGCUUUACACUGAACGUUGAGUUCGUCUGUGUAGGAUAGGUGGGAGGCUAUGAAACUGUGGCGCUAGCUGCAGUGGAGCCAUCCUUGAAAUACCACCCUGUCGUGCUUGACGUUCUAACCUAGGUCCGUUAUCCGGAUCAGGGACCGUGUAUGGUGGGUAGUUUGACUGGGGCGGUCUCCUCCUAAAGAGUAACGGAGGAGCACGAAGGUACGCUCAGCGCGGUCGGACAUCGCGCACUGUGUGCAAAGGCAUAAGCGUGCUUGACUGCAAGAUCGACGGAUCAAGCAGGUACGAAAGUAGGUCUUAGUGAUCCGGUGGUUCUGUAUGGAAGGGCCAUCGCUCAACGGAUAAAAGGUACUCCGGGGAUAACAGGCUGAUACCGCCCAAGAGUUCAUAUCGACGGCGGUGUUUGGCACCUCGAUGUCGGCUCAUCACAUCCUGGGGCUGUAGUCGGUCCCAAGGGUAUGGCUGUUCGCCAUUUAAAGUGGUACGCGAGCUGGGUUCAGAACGUCGUGAGACAGUUCGGUCCCUAUCUGCCAUGGGCGUUGGAAGUUUGAGAGGGGCUGCUCCUAGUACGAGAGGACCGGAGUGGACGAACCUCUGGUGUUCCGGUUGUCACGCCAGUGGCAUUGCCGGGUAGCUAUGUUCGGAAGCGAUAACCGCUGAAAGCAUCUAAGCGGGAAGCGCGCCUCAAGAUGAGACUUCCCGGGGCACAAGCCCCCUAAAGGAACCAUGUAGACUACGUGGUUGAUAGGUCAGGUGUGUAAGUACAGCAAUGUAUUGAGCUAACUGAUACUAAUGAUCCGUGCGGCUUGACCAUAUAACCU